CAGCCGCCGCGGGAAUACGUAGGGUGCAAGCGUUAAUCGGAAUUACUGGGCGUAAAGCGUGCGCAGGCGGUUAUAUAAGACAGAUGUGAAAUCCCCGGGCUCAACCUGGGAACUGCAUUUGUGACUGUAUAGCUAGAGUACGGCAGAGGGGGAUGGAAUUCCGCGUGUAGCAGUGAAAUGCGUAGAUAUGCGGAGGAACACCGAUGGCGAAGGCAAUCCCCUGGGCCUGUACUGACGCUUAUGCACGAAAGCGUGGGGAGCAAACAGGAUUAGAUACCCGCGUAGUCCCUGUCUCUUAUAA
rnacentral:rRNA from 1 species